GAUGAACGCUGGCGGCGUGCCUAAUACAUGCAAGUCGAACGAAGAUCUAGCUUGCUAGAUCUUAGUGGCGAACGGGUGAGUAAUACAUAAAUAAUCUGCCCAUAUGACUGGGAUAACUAUUGGAAACGAUAGCUAAUACCGGAUAGGUUGAUUGGAGGCAUCACUGAUUAAUUAAAGUAGGAUUUCUACACAAAUGGAUGAGUUUAUGGCGCAUUAGUUAGUUGGUGGGGUAACGGCCUACCAAGACGAUGAUGCGUAGCCGACCUGAGAGGGUGACCGGCCACACUGGGACUGAGACACGGCCCAGACUCCUACGGGAGGCAGCAGUAGGGAAUUUUCGGCAAUGGGCGCAAGCCUGACCGAGCAACGCCGCGUGAGUGAUUAAGGCCUUCGGGUUGUAAAGCUCUGUUGUAAGGGAAGAACAUUCAGGAUAGGAAAUGAUCUUGAACUGACGGUACCUUACCAGAAAGCGACGGCUAACUACGUGCCAGCAGCCGCUGUAA
rnacentral:rRNA from 1 species